ACUCAAAGGAAUUGACGGGGGCCCGCACAAGCGGUGGAGCAUGUGGUUUAAUUCGACGCAACGCGAAGAACCUUACCAACCCUUGACAUGAUCCGGACGGCUUCCAGAGAUGGAUGCCUCCCAGCAAUGGGCUGGAUCACAGGUGCUGCAUGGCUGUCGUCAGCUCGUGUCGUGAGAUGUUGGGUUAAGUCCCGCAACGAGCGCAACCCUCGCCAUUAGUUGCCAUCCUUAAGUUGGGCACUCUAGUGGGACUGCCGGUGAUAAGCCGGAGGAAGGUGGGGAUGACGUCAAGUCAGCAUGGCCCUUACGGGUUGGGCUACACACGUGCUACAAUGGCGGUGACAAUGGGCAGCCACCCAGCAAUGGGGAGCUAAUCCCAAAAAGCCGUCUCAGUUCGGAUCGAGCUCUGCAACUCGAGCUCGUGAAGUCGGAAUCGCUAGUAAUCGCAGAUCAGCUCGCUGCGGUGAAUACGUUCCCGGGCCUUGUACACACCGCCCGU
rnacentral:rRNA from 1 species